CUCCUCCUAAAGAGUAACGGAGGAGCACGAAGGUUGGCUAAUCCUGGUCGGACAUCAGGAGGUUAGUGCAAUGGCAUAAGCCAGCUUGACUGCGAGCGUGACGGCGCGAGCAGGUGCGAAAGCAGGUCAUAGUGAUCCGGUGGUUCUGAAUGGAAGGGCCAUCGCUCAACGGAUAAAAGGUACUCCGGGGAUAACAGGCUGAUACCGCCCAAGAGUUCAUAUCGACGGCGGUGUUUGGCAUCUCGAUGUCGGCUCAUCACAUCCUGGGGCUGAAGUAGGUCCCAAGGGUAUGGCUGUUCGCCAUUUAAAGUGGUACGCGAGCUGGGUUUAGAACGUCGUGAGACAGUUCGGUCCCUAUCUGCCGUGGGCGCUGGAGAACUGAGGGGGGCUGCUCCUAGUACGAGAGGACCGGAGUGGACGCAUCACUGGUGUUCGGGUUGUCAUGCCAAUGGCACUGCCCGGUAGCUAAAUGCGGAAGAGAUAAGUGCUGAAAGCAUCUAAGCACGAAACUUGCCCCGAGAUGAGUUCUCCCUGAGACUUAGAGUCUCCUGAAGGAACGUUGAAGACGACGACGUUGAUAGGCCGGGUGUGUAAGCGCAGCGAUGCGUUGAGCUAACCGGUACUAAUGAACCGUGAGGCUUAACCUUACAACGCCGAAG
rnacentral:rRNA from 1 species